rnacentral:tRNA from 4 species
GCGGGGGUGCCCGAGCCUGGUCAAAGGGGGCGGACUUAAGAUCCGCUGGCGUAGGCCUGCGUGGGUUCAAAUCCCACCCCCCGCA